CUAAGUACCACCCGUCUCCGGACGGGCUGCUACCAACCCUUUGUUGUCCGACCGCGUUGCCUCCGGGGCGACCCUGACCUCCGGGUCGCGGGGGACCCCGGGUGGACACCCAAACUCUGCGUAACUUUGUAGUCUGAGUAAAAGAUUUAAUAAAUUA
rnacentral:misc_RNA from 1 species